GACGUAGGUGGCGAACGUUAUCCGGAAUUAUUGGGCGUAAAGGGUGCGUAGGCGGCAUAAUAAGUUAUUGGCGGGAAAUCGAGGCUCAACCUCGUGGAAACUGAUAAUACUGUUUUGCUUGAGUACAGGAGAGGUUAACGGAACUCCAUGUGGAGCGGUAAAAUGUGUAGAUAUAUGGAAGAACAUCAAUAACGGCGAAGGCAGUUAACUAUUCUGUUACUGACGUUGAGGCACGAAAGCGUGGGGAGCAAAAGG
rnacentral:rRNA from 1 species